rnacentral:misc_RNA from 1 species
GAUGAAGAACGCAGCGAAAUGCGAUAAGUAAUGUGAAUUGCAGAAUUCAGUGAAUCGUCGAAUCUUUGAACGCACCUUGCGCUCCUUGGUAUUCCGAGGAGCAUGCCUGUUUGAGUGUCAUGAAAUUCUCAACCUUUUCAGCUUUCUUUGUUGAUCAGGCUUGGAUGUGGGAGUAUGCGGGCUUCUCAGAAGUCGGCUCUCCUGAAAUGCAUUAGCGGGACCUUUGUUGCCUGGCUUUGGUGUGAUAAUUAUCUACGCCAUUGUAGUCAAGCAGCUUAAAAUGAGGUUUCAGCUUCUAACCGUCUCCCCUGAGACAACUUUUUGACAAUUUGACCUCAAAUCAGGUAGGACUACCCGCUGAACUUAAGCAUAUCAAUAAGCGGAGGA